GGCCUCAUUACAAACACAGUAAUUUGGUAUAAACAAAUUGAUGCUUAAAACGUCAGAUUAAAUAGACUACAUGAGGACUAAUAAAAUAAUGUAAAACGUGUUCGUGUUUGAAAUGUUCUACAAAUCUGAGUUUAUUGCCAUAUGGAGUGUCACCAAAAGGGAGUAUAUGAAGGAGGGCGGUCAUGCUACGUCUUCCUAAAUGAGCAUCCCCAUCCUUCCUUUAAGCCACUAUUAGAGGAUCCGAAGAUGGGAAUGAAAACGUUCAAUUUCCCCCUGCAUUUAGGCCUGAUAAAUGUAUUUCAUCACAAUGUUAAGGUAAAUAUGUUCAUUAGAGUUUUGUCUGCUUCCUUUAGGAUUCAUUAUCUAUGUGGUAAGGCUUUGAUGAUACUUGAUGAAUAGGAUUUUGUCUGAAAUUCUAAAGAAAUUAAAAUAUGCCCUUGAAGCAAGGUCAGGUAAAUGUUACUCACACAUUCGUUAUCUAAUGCCAAACAUAAUGGAUAACCUACUCCUUUAAAAACACA
ensembl:lncRNA